rnacentral:rRNA from 1 species
ACGCGCUGAACCUUACCAACCCUUGACAUCCCCUGACCGCCGGAGAGAUCCGGCUUUCCCGUAAGGGACAGGGAGACAGGUGCUGCAUGGCUGUCGUCAGCUCGUGUCGUGAGAUGUUCGGUUAAGUCCGGCAACGAGCGCAACCCCACGUCCCCCAGUUGCCAGCAUUCAGUUGGGCACUCUGUGGAAACUGCCGAUGAUAAGUCGGAGGAAGGUGUGGAUGACGUCAAGUCCUCAUGGCCCUUACGGG